GACGAACGCUGGCGGCGUGCUUAACACAUGCAAGUCGAACGGAAAGGCCCUGCUUUUGUGGGGUGCUCGAGUGGCGAACGGGUGAGUAACACGUGAGUAACCUGCCCUUGACUUUGGGAUAACUUCAGGAAACUGGGGCUAAUACCGGAUAGGAGCUCCUGCUGCAUGGUGGGGGUUGGAAAGUUUCGGCGGUUGGGGAUGGACUCGCGGCUUAUCAGCUUGUUGGUGGGGUAGUGGCUUACCAAGGCUUUGACGGGUAGCCGGCCUGCGAGGGUGACCGGCCACAUUGGGACUGAGAUACGGCCCAGACUCCUACGGGAGGCAGCAGUGGGGAAUAUUGCACAAUGGGCGGAAGCCUGAUGCAGCAACGCCGCGUGCGGGAUGACGGCCUUCGGGUUGUAAACCGCUUUCGCCUGUGACGAAGUGUGAGUGACGGUAAUGGGUAAAGAAGCACCGGCUAACUACGUG
rnacentral:rRNA from 1 species